GAGUUGUAAUUUGCAGAGGAUGUUAUGGAAUCUGUGUGGACUCAAGUCCUUUGGAAAAAGGCGCCAUGGAGAGUGACAGUCUCGUACUUUCCGAUACAUUUUCCAUGUAUAACUCCUUCAAAGAGUCGAGUUGUUUGGGAAUGCAGCUCUAAGUGGGACGUAAAUUUGUUCCAAAGCUAAAUACCGGCUAGAGACCGAUAGCGCACAAGUAGAGUGAUCGAAAGAUGAAAAGCACUUUGAAAAGAGAGUUAAAAAGCACGUGAAAUUGUUGAAAGGGAAGCUUAUGUCAUCAGAAAUGGUGUCGUUGUUCAGCCUUUUGGUGUAUUCAAUGACAAUCAGGCUAGCAUCAGUUUGAAUAGUUGGAUAAAGACUCGAAAAUGUAGCUCUUUCGGGAGUGUUAAAGUUCGAGAUGGAAUGCAGCUCAUUUAGACUGAGGACCGCUUUAAGGAUGC
rnacentral:rRNA from 1 species